GAUGAACGCUGGCGGCGUGCUUAACACAUGCAAGUCGAACGAUGAAGCCCAGCUUGCUGGGUGGAUUAGUGGCGAACGGGUGAGUAACACGUGAGUAACCUGCCCUUAACUCUGGGAUAAGCCUGGGAAACUGGGUCUAAUACCGGAUAGGAGCGUCCACCGCAUGGUGGGUGUUGGAAAGAUUUAUCGGUUUUGGAUGGACUCGCGGCCUAUCAGCUUGUUGGUGAGGUAAUGGCUCACCAAGGCGACGGCGGGUAGCCGGCCUGAGAGGGUGACCGGCCACACUGGGACUGAGACACGGCCCAGACUCCUACGGGAGGCAGCAGUGGGGAAUAUUGCACAAUGGGCGCAAGCCUGAUGCAGCGACGCCGCGUGAGGGAUGACGGCCUUCGGGUUGUAAACCUCUUUCAGUAGGGAAGAAGCGAAAGUGACGGUACCUGCAGAAGAAGCACCGGCUAACUACGU
rnacentral:rRNA from 1 species